ACGGGAGGCAGCAGUGGGGGAUAUUGCACAAUGGGGGAAACCCUGAUGCAGCGACGCCGCGUGAGUGAUGAAGUAUUUCGGUAUGUAAAGCUUUAUCAGCAGGAAAGAUAAUGACGGUACCUGACUAAGAAGCACCGGCUAAUACGUGCCAGCAGCCGCGGUAAUACGUAUGGUGCAAGCGUUAUCCGGAUUUACUGGGUGUAAAGGGAGCGUAGGCGGUUUGGCAAGUCUGAUGUGAAAACCCGGGGCUUAACCUCGGGAUUGCAUUGGAAACUGUCGGACUUGAGUGUCGGAGAGGAAAGCGGAAUUCCUAGUGUAGCGGUGAAAUGCGUAGAUAUUAGGAGGAACACCAGUGGCGAAGGCGGCUUUCUGGACGAUAACUGACGCUGAGGCUCGAAAGCGUGGGGAGCAAACAGGAUUAGAUACCCUGGUA
rnacentral:rRNA from 1 species